UACGGAGGGUGCAAGCGUUAUCCGGAUUUACUGGGUUUAAAGGGCGCGUAGGCGGCCGCUUAAGUCGAACGUGAAAUCCCCGGGCUCAACCCGGGAACUGCGUCCGAUACUGGGGGGCUUGAAUUCGGGAGAGGGAUGCGGAAUUCCAGGUGUAGCGGUGAAAUGCGUAGAUAUCUGGAGGAACACCAGCGGCGAAGGCGGCGUCCUGGACUGGUACUGACGCUCAGGAGCGAAAGCGUGGGGAGCGAUCCGG
rnacentral:rRNA from 1 species